rnacentral:rRNA from 1 species
ACACUCCUACGGGAGGCAGCAGUGGGGAAUUUUGGACAAUGGGCGAAAGCCUGAUCCAGCAAUGCCGCGUGAGUGAAGAAGGCCUUCGGGUUGUAAAGCUCUUUUGUCAGGGAAGAAACGGUGAGAGCUAAUAUCUCUUGCUAAUGACGGUACCUGAAGAAUAAGCACCGGCUAACUACGUGCCAGCAGCCGCGGUAAUACGUAGGGUGCAAGCGUUAAUCGGAAUUACUGGGCGUAAAGCGUGCGCAGGCGGUUUUGUAAGUCUGAUGUGAAAUCCCCGGGCUCAACCUGGGAAUUGCAUUGGAGACUGCAAGGCUAGAAUCUGGCAGAGGGGGGUAGAAUUCCACGUGUAGCAGUGAAAUGCGUAGAUAUGUGGAGGAACACCGAUGGCGAAGGCAGCCCCCUGGGUCAAGAUUGACGCUCAUGCACGAAAGCGUGGGGAGCAAACAGGAUUAGAAACCCGGGUAGUCCCAU